rnacentral:rRNA from 1 species
UAGUCCAUGCAGUAAACGAUGGGUGCUAGUCGUCGGACUUAUGUUCGGUGUCGUAGCUAACGCGUUAAGCACCCCGCCUGGGGAGUACGGUCGCAAGAUUAAAACUCAAAUAAAUUGACGGGGACCCGCACAAGCAGUGGAGCAUGUGGUUUAAUUCGACGCAACGCGAAGAACCUUACCAGCGUUUGACAUGGGAAGUACCGGUUACAGAAUGGUAACCUUCAGUUCGGCUGGCUUCUACACAGGUGCUGCAUGGCUGUCGUCAGCUCGUGUCGUGAGAUGUUGGGUUAAGUCCCGCAACGAGCGCAACCCUUAUCGUUAGUUACUAACAGUUCGGCUGAGGACUCUAGCGAAACUGCCGGUGAUAAGCCGGAGGAAGGUGGGGAUGACGUCAAGUCCUCAUGGCCCUUACGGGGCCGGGGCUACACACGUGAUACAAUGGGUAACUACAAAGANCAGCGAUGGGAGCAAUCUUCAGCAAAUCUCCAAAAGUUCCU